AAGCUCGUAGUUGAAUUUCGGGAUUGACGUGACGGUCGUGCCUUAAGGGGUAUGAACUGUUACAGUCAAUUUCUCACCUUCUGGAGAAAUAUGAUGUCCUUAAUUGGGUGUCAUAUGGAACCAGAACUUCUACCUUGAAAAAAUUAGAGUGUUUAAAGCAAGCUUAUUGCUCGAAUACAUUAGCAUGGAAUAAUAAAAUAGGACGGCAUGAUUCAAUUUUGUUGGUUUCUAGGAUCACCGUAAUGAUUAAUAGGGAUAGUUGGGGGCAUUAGUAUUCAAUUGUCAGAGGUGAAAUUCUUGGAUUUAUUGAAGACUAACUACUGCGAAAGCAUUUGCCAAGGAUGUUUUCAUUAAUCAAGAACGAAAGUUAGGGGAUCGAAGACGAUCAGAUACCGUCGUAGUCUUAACCAUAAACUAUGCCGACUAGGAAUCAGACGAUGUUAAUUUUUUAAUGACUCGUUUGGCACCUUACGGGAAACCAAAGUGUUUGGGUUCCGGGGGGAGUAUGGUCGCAAGGCUGAAACUUAAAGGAAUUGACGGAAGGGCACCACCAGGGGUGGAGCCUGCGGCUUAAUUUGACUCAACACGGGGAAACUUACCAGGUCCAGACAUAGCAAGGAUUGACAGACUGAGAGCUCUUUCUUGAUUCUAUGGGUG
rnacentral:rRNA from 1 species